AGCGUCCUUGCUAUGUCGAAAUUUAUCGACAGUCGUCCUCUCUCUUCCAAGUCCCUCUCUUCCCCUUCCCCAAAAUAUCCGCACUCUUCUUUUUUUUUUUCCUUUUGGCGACUUUUGUGCUCUUUUGGUUCUUCCGACUCGAC
rnacentral:ribozyme from 1 species